GAUGAAGAACGUAGCGAAAUGCGAUAAGUAAUGUGAAUUGCAGAAUUCAGUGAAUCAUCGAGUCUUUGAACGCACAUUGCGCCCCUUGGUAUCCCGAGGGGCAUGCCUGUUCGAGCGUCAUUUCACCACUCAAGCCUGGCUUGGUGUUGGGCGACGUCCUCUUUGGGGACGCGCCUCGAAACGCUCGGCGGCGUGGCACCGGCUUUAAGCGUAGCAGAAUCUUUCGCUUUGGAAGUCGGGGCCCCGUCUGCCGGAAGACCUGCUCGCAAGGUUGACCUCGGAUCAGGCAGGGAUACCCGCUGAACUUAAGCAUAUCAAUAAGCGGAGGA
rnacentral:misc_RNA from 1 species